GUGCUUCGGCAAGACAUAUACUAAAAUUGGAACGAUAUAGAGAAGAUUAGCAUGGCCCCUGCGCAAGGAUGACACGCAAAAUCGUGAAGCGUUCCACAUUUUU
rnacentral:snRNA from 2 species